GACAGAGGGUGCAAACGUUUGUUCGGAAUUACUGGGCGUAAAGCGCGUGUAGGCGGCUAAGUAAGUCGGGCGUGAAAUCCCACGGCUCAACCGUGGAAGUGCACUCGAAACUGCAUAGCUAGAGUCCUGGAGAGGAAGGUGGAAUGCUUGGUGUAGAGGUGAAAUUCGUAGAUAUCAAGCGGAACACCGGUGGCGAAGGCGGCCUUCUGGACAGUGACUGGACGCUGAGACGGCGAAAAGCGUGGGGAGCAAACAGGG
rnacentral:rRNA from 1 species